rnacentral:rRNA from 2 species
UUAAGUUAUUAAGGGCGCACGGUGGAUGCCUUGGCACUAGAAGCCGAUGAAGGACGUUACUAACGACGAUAUGCUUUGGGGAGCUGUAAGUAAGCUUUGAUCCAGAGAUUUCCGAAUGGGGAAACCCAGCAUGAGUUAUGUCAUGUUAUCGAUAUGUGAAUACAUAGCAUAUCAGAAGGCACACCCGGAGAACUGAAACAUCUUAGUACCCGGAGGAAGAGAAAGAAAAUUCGAUUCCCUUAGUAGCGGCGAGCGAAACGGGAAGAGCCCAAACCAACAAGCUUGCUUGUUGGGGUUGUAGGACACUCUGUACGGAGUUACAAAGGACGACAUUAGACGAAUCAUCUGGAAAGAUGAAUCAAAGAAGGUAAUAAUCCUGUAGUCGAAAAUGUUGUCUCUCUUGAGUGGAUCCUGAGUACGACGGAGCACGUGAAAUUCCGUCGGAAUCUGGGAGGACCAUCUCCUAAGGCUAAAUACUCUCUAGUGACCGAUAGUGAACCAGUACCGUGAGGGAAAGGUGAAAAGCACCCCGGAAGGGGAGUGAAAUAGAACCUGAAACCGUGUGCUUACAAGUAGUCAGAGCCCGUUAAUGGGUGAUGGCGUGCCUUUUGUAGAAUGAACCGGCGAGUUACGAUUUGAUGCAAGGUUAAGCAGUAAAUGUGGAGCCGUAGCGAAAGCGAGUCUGAAUAGGGCGUUUAGUAUUUGGUCGUAGACCCGAAACCAGGUGAUCUACCCUUGGUCAGGUUGAAGUUCAGGUAACACUGAAUGGAGGACCGAACCGACUUACGUUGAAAAGUGAGCGGAUGAACUGAGGGUAGCGGAGAAAUUCCAAUCGAACCUGGAGAUAGCUGGUUCUCUCCGAAAUAGCUUUAGGGAUAGCCUCAAGUGAUGAUUAUUGGAGGUAGAGCACUGUUUGGACGAGGGGCCCCUCUCGGGUUACCGAAUUCAGACAAACUCCGAAUGCCAAUUAAUUUAACUUGGGAGUCAGAACAUGGGUGAUAAGGUCCGUGUUCGAAAGGGAAACAGCCCAGACCACCAGCUAAGGUCCCAAAAUAUAUGUUAAGUGGAAAAGGAUGUGGCGUUGCCCAGACAACUAGGAUGUUGGCUUAGAAGCAGCCAUCAUUUAAAGAGUGCGUAAUAGCUCACUAGUCGAGUGACACUGCGCCGAAAAUGUACCGGGGCUAAACAUAUUACCGAAGCUGUGGAUUGUCCUUUGGACAAUGGUAGGAGAGCGUUCUAAGGGCGUUGAAGCAUGAUCGUAAGGACAUGUGGAGCGCUUAGAAGUGAGAAUGCCGGUGUGAGUAGCGAAAGACGGGUGAGAAUCCCGUCCACCGAUUGACUAAGGUUUCCAGAGGAAGGCUCGUCCGCUCUGGGUUAGUCGGGUCCUAAGCUGAGGCCGACAGGCGUAGGCGAUGGAUAACAGGUUGAUAUUCCUGUACCACCUAUAAUCGUUUUAAUCGAUGGGGGGACGCAGUAGGAUAGGCGAAGCGUGCGAUUGGAUUGCACGUCUAAGCAGUAAGGCUGAGUAUUAGGCAAAUCCGGUACUCGUUAAGGCUGAGCUGUGAUGGGGAGAAGACAUUGUGUCUUCGAGUCGUUGAUUUCACACUGCCGAGAAAAGCCUCUAGAUAGAAAAUAGGUGCCCGUACCGCAAACCGACACAGGUAGUCAAGAUGAGAAUUCUAAGGUGAGCGAGCGAACUCUCGUUAAGGAACUCGGCAAAAUGACCCCGUAACUUCGGGAGAAGGGGUGCUCUUUAGGGUUAACGCCCAGAAGAGCCGCAGUGAAUAGGCCCAAGCGACUGUUUAUCAAAAACACAGGUCUCUGCUAAACCGUAAGGUGAUGUAUAGGGGCUGACGCCUGCCCGGUGCUGGAAGGUUAAGAGGAGUGGUUAGCUUCUGCGAAGCUACGAAUCGAAGCCCCAGUAAACGGCGGCCGUAACUAUAACGGUCCUAAGGUAGCGAAAUUCCUUGUCGGGUAAGUUCCGACCCGCACGAAAGGCGUAACGAUUUGGGCACUGUCUCAACGAGAGACUCGGUGAAAUCAUAGUACCUGUGAAGAUGCAGGUUACCCGCGACAGGACGGAAAGACCCCGUGGAGCUUUACUGUAGCCUGAUAUUGAAAUUCGGCACAGCUUGUACAGGAUAGGUAGGAGCCUUUGAAACGUGAGCGCUAGCUUACGUGGAGGCGCUGGUGGGAUACUACCCUAGCUGUGUUGGCUUUCUAACCCGCACCACUUAUCGUGGUGGGAGACAGUGUCAGGCGGGCAGUUUGACUGGGGCGGUCGCCUCCUAAAAGGUAACGGAGGCGCUCAAAGGUUCCCUCAGAAUGGUUGGAAAUCAUUCAUAGAGUGUAAAGGCAUAAGGGAGCUUGACUGCGAGACCUACAAGUCGAGCAGGGUCGAAAGACGGACUUAGUGAUCCGGUGGUUCCGCAUGGAAGGGCCAUCGCUCAACGGAUAAAAGCUACCCCGGGGAUAACAGGCUUAUCUCCCCCAAGAGUUCACAUCGACGGGGAGGUUUGGCACCUCGAUGUCGGCUCAUCGCAUCCUGGGGCUGUAGUCGGUCCCAAGGGUUGGGCUGUUCGCCCAUUAAAGCGGUACGCGAGCUGGGUUCAGAACGUCGUGAGACAGUUCGGUCCCUAUCCGUCGUGGGCGUAGGAAAUUUGAGAGGAGCUGUCCUUAGUACGAGAGGACCGGGAUGGACAUACCUCUGGUGUACCAGUUGUCGUGCCAACGGCAUAGCUGGGUAGCUAUGUGUGGACGGGAUAAGUGCUGAAAGCAUCUAAGCAUGAAGCCCCCCUCAAGAUGAGAUUUCCCAACUUCGGUUAUAAGAUCCCUCAAAGAUGAUGAGGUUAAUAGGUUCGAGGUGGAAGCAUGGUGACAUGUGGAGCUGACGAAUACUAAUCGAUCGAAGACUUAAUCAA